AACCUGCUUGGAUCUGUGAGCGCAGAGACUCAACGACGGAUUUUACUCUGAGGGUUUGAGAGCGGUCCACUGAUGCUGCAUUCUCACUCCUCACCCUCAAUUCGUUGCAGUCUGCGGUCUACUUAACAUGCCUUUCACUAUACCAGCCAGCGGGCCUCAGCCUCUCAGUUAGACCAUCUCCCUAAUACGAAGCAAGGCCUACACUGUACUGUGCAUAAGCUCAAGCUCCCUGGCACCGCCAACUUCUUUCAACGGUCGACAUGUCUGCAUCGAAAAAAACUAUCCCUACCUGUACCUAUUUUUACACCUUCCAUCCCUCGAAUCUGGGGGAGAGCAAAAGCCACACUACAAUUAGAUGAUAUUGUGAUAAGAGGGCUAUGAUGAAUUUGUGCUAUGCGAGUUUACGAGCUGACCCUGUCAGGAUGAAAUAACUAAAUAUAUAAUCUAUCAUUAUCCUCGGCUUGAAGAUACCAAGAAAAGCGCUGUCAUGGUGUAGCUUGCAAACGAAACAUACUCCAGGGAAGCAGGUUGCACCACACUUGAGCUGGGUAUCGUCGGCAUCGGAGGAUGAAGCCCCAGAAUCUCAUCGUUUCUGGAUAGGGCAUGGGGAUGUGGUUUCAAAAUUGGAUAGUUAAACACGGUUCGGACCAGAACCGUACAUGAUUUCAAUUCCCGGGUUGCAAAAAAAAUAAAAAAUAAAAAAAAAGCCCAAAACAAAAAACAAAAAACAAAAAAACUACUCAGCGUUCUAAAUGCUUGGACCACAUAUGUCAUAUCUCCCCAUCCAAUGGUGGUGGAUUUUUUUUCGUAUUUCUCCGGCUCUUAGCCCUUAAGCUAAUCCUUCCUGAAGUGAUCUUCAUCGUGGACAAGAGGGCGAAAGGGCAGGAUGGUAUGGACUGAUGAACGCACUGCGUUGAGUUGAUUGAAGCGCCAAAAAGGUGGGCCGAAAAUUGGAGCCGCGUUCGAUUUGCCCGUACCCCUACCCUGGGGAAAAGCCCGGGACUGUGAGAAUUUUUCCAUCUAGGGUUUGAAAGGGAAAAAGUUGGCGCAUCACUUGAGAGAAAUGGCGAAGGACGCGCAUAGCUGAUUACAUAGAGUCUUGCAUUUUUGAUAUUUAACCAUUGUCCGCGUACAUAGUGCGUGACGAUAGUGGUGUAUGAUGAUGUAGAGUCUGAAGAAAUCGAAUAAAGCUAUUUUGGGGGG
rnacentral:sRNA from 1 species